rfam:Naematelia encephala strain 68-887.2 BCR39scaffold_27, whole genome shotgun sequence.
GCCCGACUGGCCCAAUCGGCUAAGGCACCCGACUCUUAUGUAAGCAGCAAACGCGCUUCGUAAAUCGGGCGAUUCUGGGUUCGAGUCCCAGGCCGGGCU